AUUGAACGCUGGCGGCAUGCUUUACACAUGCAAGUCGAACGGCAGCGCGGGCUUCGGCCUGGCGGCGAGUGGCGAACGGGUGAGUAAUACAUCGGAACGUGCCCAGUAGUGGAGGAUAGCUCGGCGAAAGCCGGAUUAAUACCGCAUACGACCUGAGGGUGAAAGCGGGGGAUCUUCGGACCUCGCGCUAUUGGAGCGGCCGAUGGCAGAUUAGCUAGUUGGUGGGGUAAAGGCCUACCAAGGCGACGAUCUGUAGCUGGUCUGAGAGGACGACCAGCCACACUGGGACUGAGACACGGCCCAGACUCCUACGGGAGGCAGCAGUGGGGAAUUUUGGACAAUGGGCGAAAGCCUGAUCCAGCAAUGCCGCGUGUGUGAUGAGGGCCUUCGGGUUGUAAAGCACUUUUGGCGGGAACGAAAAGGACUGUGCCAAUACCACGGUUCGAUGACGGUACCCGCAGAAUAAGCACCGGCUAACUACGUG
rnacentral:rRNA from 1 species